CCCGCUGAACUUAAGCAUAUCAGUAAGCGGAGGAAAAGAAACUAACAAGGAUUCCCCCAGUAACGGCGAGUGAACAGGGACCAGUCCAGCGCUGAAUCUCGACGCUUAGGCGUCGCGACGUGUAGCGUAUAGGCGGUUCGCUUGGCUGUGGCCGAAGGCGCAAGUUUCCCAUGACCGGGGCACCAAAGAAGGUGAUAGACCUGUAGCGCUUGAGGCCUAUGCCGAUUGAGCUGUCUUGGAGUCGGGUUGUUUGGGAUCGCAGCCCAAAGCAGGUGGUAAACUUCAUCUAAGACUAAAUAUUCCUACGAGACCGAUAGCGAACAAGUACCGUGAGGGAAAGUUGAAAAGCACUUUGAAGAGAGAGUUAAAGAGGACGUGAAACCGGUGGGAUGGAAACGGAUAGAGCUAGCGAACUCGCUCGUAUUCAACCGAAGACGUCGUGGUCGCCCGCUAUCGAGUUGCUAAUCACGCUCGGCGGUGGACCGGCUGCGCGUUCAGGUGCAUUUGCGGGCGUAUGCGCUGAGACUUGUGAGACAGCUGCUGAAUGCGUGUCUAGAGGCCUCCCUUCGGGAGGAACCUGGUCGCGGCGACGGUUGUUUGUCUUGCUCGUAUGGGUACGGCCUACGGGCCUGUGCUUUGCCGUCGUCUUCUUGCCAUGGUAUCGCAUGCGAUGCCUAGUUUGGGGGCGGCGGUUUGGUUCGGAGUUCCCGUGCCCGCUCUUGGUGUAGAAGCUGGUCAUCUCUCCGACCCGUCUUGAAACACGG
rnacentral:rRNA from 1 species